GGGGCCUGAAAAGUGGGAUGAGGCACUCCUCCAGCACUUGGCUCUUGUUAUCUUGGAAAAUUAAAGCCAGGCCUCGGCUGGAGCAUUCUGCUUGAGAUUCUGCUGGGAAAUGAAGAAGGCUGGGGAGGAGUGGGUGGAGAACAGGCUGGAGGAGGCCUGCAGGGCAGAGCGCUGAGGUUUUGCUCGGGGGACUGUUCCUACAGUCAGACCUUUCCCCUCCUGGGGCGGGAAACCAGCCCGGCUCCGCAAUCAAACAGACCUGGAUUUUUGGACUCCGCCUCAGCAGGACCCUGGAUGAAUUCCUUCACUUCUCUGGGUUUCAGUUUUCCUCUCCGUAGAGGAAGAUAACAACACUUUGCUCCCGGGUUUUGUGAGGAUCCAUAGGGGAGCGUUCGAUGAGGGUGACCUCCCUUCCCAUUUCUCCCCUGGCUCGUCCCUCAAGUCUCUUCUGGCAGGAAGAGUGCAUCCAAUUGCUUGGCCCCUCUCGUCUCCCUGGACUUGGCUGCCUCCUUUUCCAGCCGCUCCGUGCUCUCAUCCAGCCCUGUCUUAGUCACCUAGAGACCGAGCUCUUGGCUACUGGACCGUCCCCACCCCAGCAUGCCAUUAAGGAGUUGGUAGGCUUGCGUGAGGUAACCCUGUACCAUCCUCCCUCGGUGUCCAUGGACCGAGGACCCCCUGCAGGUACCGAAUCCACAGAUGCUCAACUCCGUUGUAUAAAAUGGCGUAGUGUUUGCAUUAAAUCAUGCACAUCCUGCCGUGUAAUUUAAAUCAUCUCUAGAUUACUCAUGAUACCCAGUACAAUGUAAGUGCUGUGUAAAUAGAUGCAAAUGAGUGUA